CCUAUGACAGUUGUUGGGUGGGGUAAAAAAUAACUCUGUAUAAGUUUGGUAGUGACCCUCAAAAAUGAAUCUCAGCCGCACAAGCUCUUGAACAUCCUUGGAUCAGAGGAGGAGAAGCACCGGACAAGCCUAUUGAUAGCGCGGUGUUAUUUCGGAUGAAGCAAUUCCAAGCAAUGAACAAACUUAAGAAGCUAGCUCUUAAGAGAAUCUCUCGGAAGAGGAAAUUAAAGGUCUUAAAAACAAUGUUUGCUGAGUAUGGAUAUCGAAAAAAGCGGGCACAAUUACUUACCAAGAAUUGAAAACCAGGCUGACUAAACUUGGCUCUAGACUCACUGAAACUGAAGUGAAGCAACUAAUGGAAGUCUUGUGAUCCUCUUUCCCCUGCUUCUAAUGUUUCUUAUUCUUCUUAAAAAAAAGAUGGAACCUGAAUAGCCUUAUUUUGUAUAGGGUAAAUGUAAACUUGGGAACUAUUUCAGGGGAUGCCAAACUGAUCAAAGAAUGAGGGAUCAAGGUUUAUGAAAAAAUCAGGAUGUGCUACAGUAA